GCGCGAAAUCUCUGCAAUAGGCGAAAGCUUGACAGGGUUACUCUGAGUGGUUCCCGUUAAGGGGAUCUUUUGGCACCUUUAAAAAUGGUGCAGAAUAAGGGGUGGGCAAGUCUGGUGUCAGCCGCCGCGGUAAUACCAGCACCCCGAGUGGUCGGGACGAUUAUUGGGCCUAAAGCAUCCGUAGCCGGUACUGCAAGUCUUCCGUUAAAUCCACCUGCUUAACAGUUGGGCUGCGGGGGAUACUACAGCGCUAGGAGGCGGGAGAGGCAAGCGGUACUCAAUGGGUAGGGGUAAAAUCCGCUGAUCCAUUGAAGACCACCAGUGGCGAAGGCGGCUUGCCAGAACGCGCUCGACGGUGAGGGAUGAAAGCUGGGGGAGCAAACCGG
rnacentral:rRNA from 1 species